rnacentral:ncRNA from 1 species
UACAGCUCCCAGCUUCACAUCAUCAUACCACCAGGUCAGAAAGGAAGAAGGGAAGGAGAGGGUAGUGUUGUACUGCUGUUAGUUGGAGAAGCGAUUUGUCUGGUUAAUUUCAAUAAAGAAUGAGACUCUGGCAUGCUAACUAGUGCCCCCCGAGAGCCGUUGGCGUCCUCCAAGUUUUUAGCGGGCCUGGUGACAUCCAGCCACCUGAGACUGAGCCAUAGCAGGUUUGUGAUGUUCUUAGCUGUCCAGGGUCACGCAUUGCACUGCUUGGCUCAGCGUGUGCCUACCCUACCCCGGCAGGCACAGGUAAGCCACUGAAUCCCAUUUGUGAUGGGGAUCCCAAAUUGACUAAAGGAA